rnacentral:tRNA from 1 species
UCCCUGGUGGUCCAGUGGUUAGGACUCAGAGCUCUCAUUUCUGGGGCCCAGGUUCAGUCCUUGGUCAGGGAA